rnacentral:rRNA from 1 species
GAUGAACGCUAGCGACAGGCUUAACACAUGCAAGUCGAGGGGCAGCAUAGAAGUAGCAAUACGUUUGGUGGCGACCGGCACACGGGUGAGUAACGCGUAUGCCAACCUACCUAUCAGGAGGGGAAUAACCCGGCGAAAGUCGGACUAAUACCGCAUAAAACAGGGGCACCGCAUGGUGAUAUUUGUUAAAGAAAUUCGCUGAUAGAUGGGCAUGCGUUCCAUUAGGUAGUUGGUGAGGUAACGGCUCACCAAGCCGACGAUGGAUAGGGGAACUGAGAGGUUGGUCCCCCACACUGGUACUGAGACACGGACCAGACUCCUACGGGAGGCAGCAGUGAGGAAUAUUGGUCAAUGGGCGGGAGCCUGAACCAGCCAAGUCGCGUGAAGGAAGAAGGAUCUAUGGUUCGUAAACUUCUUUUGCAGGGGAAUAAAGUGCAGGACGUGUCCUGUUUUGUAUGUACCCUGAGAAUAAGGAUCGGCUAACUCCGUG